UACGUAGGGUGCGAGCGUUAAUCGGAAUUACUGGGCGUAAAGGGCUCGUAGGCGGCCAACUAAGUCAGACGUGAAAUCCCUCGGCUUAACCGGGGAACUGCAUCUGAUACUGGAUGGCUUGAAAUUGGGAGAGGGAUGCGGAAUUCCAGGUGUAGCGGUGAAAUGCGUAGAUAUCUGGAGGAACACCGGUGGCGAAGGCGGCAUCCUGGACCAACACUGACGCUGAGGAGCGAAAGCCAGGGGAGCAAACGGG
rnacentral:rRNA from 1 species